rnacentral:rRNA from 1 species
AGCGAACAGACGAGGAGCUUGCUCCUCUGACGUUAGCGGCGGACGGGUGAGUAACACGUGGAUAACCUACCUAUAAGACUGGGAUAACUUCGGGAAACCGGAGCUAAUACCGGAUAAUAUAUUGAACCGCAUGGUUCAAUAGUGAAAGACGGUUUUGCUGUCACUUAUAGAUGGAUCCGCGCCGCAUUAGCUAGUUGGUAAGGUAACGGCUUACCAAGGCAACGAUGCGUAGCCGACCUGAGAGGGUGAUCGGCCACACUGGAACUGAGACACGGUCCAGACUCCUACGGGAGGCAGCAGUAGGGAAUCUUCCGCAAUGGGCGAAAGCCUGACGGAGCAACGCCACGUGAGUGAUGAAGGUCUUCGGAUCGUAAAACUCUGUUAUUAGGGAAGAACAAAUGUGUAAGUAACUAUGCACGUCUUGACGGUACCUAAUCAGAAAGCCACGGCUAACUACGUGCCAGCAGCCGCGGUAAUACGUARGUGGCAAGCGUUAUCCGGAAUUAUUGGGCGUAAAGCGCGCGUAGGCGGUUUUUUAAGUCUGAUGU